GACGAACGCUGGCGGCAUGCUUAACACAUGCAAGUCGAACGGGAAGUGCUGUUUCCAGUGGCGAGCGGGUGAGGAACGCGUAAGAAUCUGCCCUUGGGAGGGUAACAACAACUGGAAACGGUUGCUAAUACCCCGGAGGCUGAGGAGCAAAAGGAGAAAUCCGCCCAAGGAGGGGCUCGCGUCUGAUUAGCUAGUUGGUGAGGUAAUAGCUUACUAAGGCGAUGAUCAGUAGCUGGUCCGAGAGGAUGAUCAGCCACAGUGGGACUGAGACACGGCCCAGGCUCCUGCGGGAGGCAGUAGGGGAGAAUUUUCCGAGAUGGGAAGCAGCAUGAAGGAGCGAUGCGUGGGGGAGGUGGGAGGUCUAGGGGUAGUCCACUUCUUUUCUCGGCGAAGAAAGAAUGACGGUAUCUGAGGAAUAAGCAGCGGCUAACUCUGUG
rnacentral:rRNA from 1 species